ACCCAAACAUCCACCGAAAGUUUUACCACAACUAUGAGAAAACGGGCGUUGUGAAUUGCGAUACUGCAGUGAGCUAUUAGAUUAGAUUUGAGAUCCACGUUCACACCCACGCUACAUGCAUACCAACUCUACAAAUUAGCCUCACGUCAAGAGAGAAAAAAAAAAAGAAAAACGCUACAAAUUAGCCUUCAACUCAACUCCUUCUUCCCGCCUCUCUCAUUUGGUGUAGUUCUAAAGCGGUCCCGUCUGCGCUACUGCUACUGCUUCUGCUCCCUUCCCACUUCAACACACAAUGGGCAUCAAGGGUUUAACCAAGCUUUUAGCUGAUAAUGCGCCCAAGGGCAUGAAGGAGCAGAAGUUCGAAACCUAUUUCGGCCGCAAAAUCGCUAUUGAUGCUAGCAUGAGUAUUUAUCAAUUUCUUAUUGUUGUGGGUAGAAGUGGGACUGAGAUGCUCACCAACGAAGCUGGUGAAGUCACUAGUCAUUUGCAAGGGAUGUUUAACCGAACAAUAAGGCUUCUCGAAGCUGGAAUUAAGCCAGUCUAUGUCUUUGAUGGAAAGCCUCCUGAUUUGAAAAAACAAGAACUUGCAAAACGCUAUUCAAAGAGAGCAGAUGCUACUGAGGACCUAGCAGAUGCAAUCGAGGUUGGCAACAAGGAGGAUAUUGAGAAAUUCAGUAAAAGGACAGUAAAGGUUACAAAGCAGCACAAUGAUGACUGCAAAAGACUUUUGAGACUCAUGGGAGUGCCUGUGAUUGAGCAGGCUCCCUCGGAAGCUGAGGCACAAUGUGCUGCACUUUGCAAGUUAGGAAAGGUUUAUGCCGUGGCAUCAGAAGACAUGGAUUCACUAACAUUUGGAUCUCCCAGAUUUCUUCGUCAUUUAAUGGAUCCCAGCUCAAGGAAGAUCCCAGUUAUGGAAUUUGAAGUGGCAAAGAUUUUGGAAGAGCUGAACCUCACCAUGGAUCAAUUUAUCGAUUUGUGCAUUCUUUCUGGAUGUGAUUAUUGUGACAAUAUCCGAGGUAUAGGGGGGCUGACUGCUCUAAAGCUUAUACGUCAACAUGGGGCUAUAGAGGGUAUAUUAGAGAACAUAAAUAAAGAGAGGUACCAAAUUCCUGACGAUUGGCCUUACAAAGAGGCUCGACAGCUUUUCAAAGAACCACUAGUAUGUACUGACGAAGAGCAACUUGACAUUAAGUGGACUACACCAGACGAAGAAGGCUUGUUAACAUUUUUGGUGAAUGAGAAUGGGUUCAACAGUGAGAGAGUGACAAAGGCAGUAGAAAAAAUUAAAGCAGCCAAGAACAAGUCAUCACAGGGCCGGAUGGAGUCCUUUUUCAAGCCUGUUACUAAUCCUUCAGUAUCCAUUAAACGAAAGGUGCUCUACUAGUUUUUAUCAACAUGAUAGAGAGUUAGUGCAAGAAACAAUGCAAGAGACAUGAUAUGCAACAUGCUAAUCAGUCGAUCGUUUUACUGCACAAUUGUCAUAUCCACUUCAAAUUUAGUUUCAGGAGACAUCAGAAAAGCCCACCAAACAAGCAAUAAUGAAGAAAUCGAAGUCCGGUGGUAGUAAAAGAAAGUAGACGAGUUGGUUGCAUCACCAUUCUCAAAUUAGUAUAUGACUUGAUGUUUUUAGUAAGGUUUGUUUAUAAGUUUUCGUCGGCUGUAAUUUUUUGAGUUGCAGAUUAUGAAACUAUAAUUUUCUUGUAUUUAUAUGACAUCGGUGUGCAAGUUUAGGAGGUAGAUGUUGAGUAUUUGCGGACAAGCCUUAGGUAACUACAAUCUAUCAUUACGUCCUCCCUUAGUAAUCAAUAUUGUGUUCCUGUUCA